GUGGAUUAGAUACCCGGGUAGUCCACGCCGUAAACGAUGAUUACUAGGUGUUGGGGGUCGAACCUCAGCGCCCAAGCUAACGCGAUAAGUAAUCCGCCUGGGGAGUACGUACGCAAGUAUGAAACUCAAAGGAAUUGACGGGGACCCGCACAAGCGGUGGAGCAUGUGGUUUAAUUCGACGCAACGCGAGGAACCUUACCAGCGUUUGACAUCCCAAGAAGUAAACAGAGAUGUUUUCGUGCCUCUUCGGAGGAACUUGGUGACAGGUGGUGCACGGUUGUCGACAACU
rnacentral:rRNA from 1 species